rnacentral:rRNA from 1 species
UACGUAGGGGGCGAGCGUUGUCCGGAAUUACUGGGCGUAAAGAGCUCGUAGGUGGUUUGUCGCGUUGUUCGUGAAAUCUCACGGCUUAACUGUGAGCGUGCGGGCGAUACGGGCAGACUUGAGUACUGCAGGGGAGACUGGAAUUCCUGGUGUAGCGGUGGAAUGCGCAGAUAUCAGGAGGAACACCGGUGGCGAAGGCGGGUCUCUGGGCAGUAACUGACGCUGAGGAGCGAAAGCGUGGGGAGCGAACAGG